rnacentral:lncRNA from 1 species
GGCAGAGUUUCUUUUUUCUUUUUUCUUUUUUUGUCUUUUUUUGUCUUUUUUUGCCUUUUUUUCCCUAGGGCCGCAUCUAUGGCAUAUGGAGGUUCCCAGGGUAGGUGUCUAAUUGGAGCUGUAGCUGCCGGCCUAUGCCAGAGCCACAGCAAUGCAGGAUCUGAGCCGCGUCUGCAACCUACACCACAGCUCAUGGCACCGCCAGAUCCCUAACCCACUGAGCAAGGCCAGGGAUCAAACCCGCAACCUCAUGGUUCCUAGUCGGAUUCGUUAACCACUGAGCCAUGACGGGAACUCCAGCCCUAGAGUUUCUUGGUGGGAAAACCUUACCACAUCAUACCUCCCCUGUGACCUUGAACACAUUGGUGGGUUCCCAGCAUGCUCAGUGGUUCUCCAGAAGAUGACUUGUUUUGAAUUGGGUCAAAAUGGCCCAACAUGGUCACAGAGUAAUCCUGUCUAUGAACCAGAUUUUGGUUUUCUGUGGUGUGAUGGGUACUUUUAUGUGUCGACUUGACCGGGCCAUGAUGUGCCAAAUAUUUUGUCAGAUGUUAUUCUGGGCAUGUCUUUGAGGGUGAUUCCCAAUGAGAUCAGCAUUUGAAUCAGAACACACACACACAUCCUGCUGGUUCUGUCCCUCCGAAGAACCCUGACUAAUACAUACAGACUAUUACUGUUAUUCCUGAAUAUUUAACUGAAGGUGAUGUAAGGGAAAUUAUAGUAAAGAAUUUGAAUAUCAAAAAGAUGGCUUCAGAGUGAUCAGGUUUUUUAAAUUGAAAUAUAGCUGACUUAUAAUGUGUUAGUUUCAAGUGUACAGCAAAGUGAUUCAGUUAUACACACACACACGUUAUAUGUUAUUUUUCAGAUUCUUUUCCAUUAUCACCUUGUUAGUGAUCUAUUAUAUAUAUAUUGUAGUGUGUAUAUGUUAAUCUUAAAUUCCUAAUUUAUCUCCCUCCCAUCCCUUUUGGUAACCAUAAGUUUGUUUUCUAUGUCUGUCAGUCUAUUUCUGUUUUGUAAAUAAGUUCAUUUGUAUCACUUUUUAAGAUCCACAUAUAAGUGAUAUCAUGUGGUAUUUGUCUUUCCCUGUCUGACUUCACUUAAUAUGAUAAUCUCUAGGUCCAUUAAUGUUACUGCUAAUGGCAUUAUUUCAUUCUUUUUUACUUCUGGGUAAUAUUUCUCUGUGUGUGUGUGUGUGUGCGCAUAUCACAUUUUCCUUAUCCAUGCCAGAAUGAUCAGUUUCAAAUAUGUCUGUAUAUAUUAAGGCUAGUUUGCUUACAUUUUUUUUUUGGUCACUGAAUUGUUGAAUUAUUUUCUGUUUUAUAGAUUUGGCUGAUCUUAUCUAAAAACAAUAAACAAAAUCUUUAUUGUACUAGUCUGAUAUUUCUGUGGUAUCAGCUCACUCCCAGCCGAACUGAUGCAUCUUGACCUCACACCUCACACUCCACACUGACAAAUAAGAAGAAAUCUUCUCUUGUGUAGUAUGAAACUGUUGAACAUCUUAAAGAAUUUUCUUCUGGAAAUAGAUUGCUGUUGAUCAAGGUGAUACUGAAUAAUAGCAGAACAGAUUUUCCCUUAUAGUCAAUGUUUAAUCUCAUUUCCUAUUAAUCUCAUGCUUCUGGUAUGAUCUCUUAGUCCCUAAAUGUAAAACCAUCCUUAGGACCUGCAUUAACUCAUAAAGUUAGGCAUAGAAAGCCCCAAACAAUGAAAAAUAGCUCAGAACUGGUGAGGGUUAAAUGGGCCCAGCUGGUUUUAUUAUCUUUAAUACACACUUUGCCAAGUCUUUUCCUGGGGUUCUUUUGGUGGCAGUGAACAGAUCAUGCUAAUUUGAUUUAUAAACCCCAGCAAUAGAAUUACUCUCAGUACCCCUUUGGAAGAAAUGAUUAACAUCGUUACAGUGCAGUAUGGGUGUCUGUGGGAAGGGGAGACAUUCUGUUUUCAGGCCAUAAGACAAUUUUUUUUUUCCUUGUGAAAAGUGCCAUGAACACAAACUCUACCUUUUCGCAGUGAUGAAUAAGCCCAUAUCUUGGGCACAGUGACUGUAUUUUCUGAACCCCAAUAUUAGGAUGCAUGAGGUUAAUCUGAAUAAUCUGAGAUAUGUGGUUAUGAGUCCUAGUAGAGCAGCUGUUUUAUCCCCUCAUUCUCGUUUAUAAAUGUUGCCUGGGAAUCUGGAGUGUGUGUGUCCUUUCCCAGCCACUACAGGACACGUUUUUGGAGUUAACCAUGGAAGUGUUUGGCUUAUGGUCCACAUGGUGGCAGAACCAGAGAGCUUACAUGUAGGGAAUGUCCAGACCAUGCUCACCAACUGUGGUUUAUGCCGAACUUUCCCUGACACUGCAGAAGGGAUGAGUCCCCUGUGUUAGCUGUAUUUGGGAACUGGUUGUCUCAGGGCCAAAGGAAGACUUUUGAGAGAAUUUGGAAAUUUCUUCCAAGUGUAAUUGUAACAUAUAAUUUUAUAUAUGAUGGUAACUUUGGUUUUUCUAGGUCCUAACAGUUCGUGAAUACAAAUGGGAUGAUAUCAUUUUUAAUAUCCAUUGACUGCCCUCCAUCCCCCUCUGCCCCCAGCUGCAAACCAGGUCUCCCCUGCUGACAUAGAGGAACAGCAGUAAGCAUCCUUGUCAUCUCACAUGUAAACACGCUUUUGCUCCAAUUUUUCUGCUUUGCCUGUAGGAACAUCCUUCGCUCAUCACUCUUCCCAGACAGGAGUUUGGGCCUUGCCCACUUUAUCUGUGUCCUCUGAGGCAGUGCUGCCCUUGUUGCUAUAUAGUAGGGUCUCUAGGCUGACCCCAGGUGGAGACAAGGUGUGCAGGGCCAGUAGGCCUUCCAGGCUGUGUGUAAGCUGGUGAGAUCCUGAUCUUGUCCUCUGUCCCCGUCUCUGCUGCAUUUUCCUUCAUUUCCCUGUUGUGUAAAAUCUCCAGCUUCAGCCCAAACACAGGCCACUCUCUACCUCAACUCGUGCAUAUUGAUUCCUAGGAAAAUGCCUCCCUCACAGCCCCCUUCACUACCUUCUCUGGCAUCAGCUCCAGAGGCCUGUAAGAUAUUCUUGCCUCCAGUUUACCCGGUGAGAAAAGUUGGUUCAGAAACAGCAAGUGACCUGGGAAAACUCCAACAACUACUCCAUGUCAGAGAUAAAAGUUUUACCUGAGUUACUUUGACCCCAGAUCAGUGUGUUUGCCCCUGCAGAGUCAGUGGCCCUAAAGCAGGUGAGGCUGAGCUCAGAGCCAUGCAGACCUCCUGGGGUCUUAGGCGCGGCAGCCAGGCACCACGUCUUUAACUUUUAGUAGCUCAGGCCCUGAUAUGGACUCUAGAAAAGACAGCUGAUGCUUGAGAUAAUAAGUAACAACCAACACAGGCACAGAUCCAUCUUUACAGUACGUAUGUAUAUUCAUAAAGAUGUUGCACAAAUAUGCAAAGAGAACAAAAUGAGAUCAUCUUAAUCUGAUUGGAAGGGAGAUACAGGAAGCUA